GUUGCAAGGUUUGAAUUACUACAUUUAGAUCUUUUAAUAGGUGUUGAAGAGUCACACAGAUCUUUCUCUAAUGGAAGAGAACCCUUUGGAGCAUUUUCUUUUUCAGGAUAAAGCUAGAAAAGUUUUUAAUGAAGCUCAAGGCCUUAUGAGAUGUGUGUGGAUGUGCAUGGCCCCAGUGGGAGCACCAGGAAGCCCAGAUUGGGUACAUUGUGUGCUUCUUGAAAGGUGCAGCAAAUGAAGUCGGGUUAGAAAACUGAGGACGGCGGGGAGUGAAAAGAAAAGGCUUUCUAUUCCGGCCAUUAAAUAUGCAGUGUUUCCACACGCUGAGAUUGAAAGG